GUUUGCGGCCACGCCACCCUGAACGACCCCGAUCCCAUCUGACCUCGGAAGCUAAGCAAGGUCGGGCCUGGUGAGUACCUGGAUGGGAGGCCACCUAGGAAGACCAGGUGCUGUAGGCG
rnacentral:rRNA from 1 species